AUUAAACGCUGGCGGCAUGCCUUACACAUGCAAGUCGAACGGCAGCACGGGGGCAACCCUGGUGGCGAGUGGCGAACGGGUGAGUAAAGCAUCGGAACGUGCCCUGGAGUGGGGGAUAACGUAGCGAAAGUUACGCUAAUACCGCAUAUUCUGUGAGCAGGAAAGCAGGGGAUCGCAAGACCUUGCGCUCUGGGAGCGGCCGAUGUCGGAUUAGCUAGUUGGUGGGGUAAAGGCCUACCAAGGCGACGAUCCGUAGCGGGUCUGAGAGGAUGAUCCGCCACACUGGGACUGAGACACGGCCCAGACUCCUACGGGAGGCAGCAGUGGGGAAUAUUGGACAAUGGGCGAAAGCCUGAUCCAGCAAUGCCGCGUGAGUGAUGAAGGCCUUAGGGUUGUAAAGCUCUUUUACCAGGGAUGAUAAUGACAGUACCUGGAGAAUAAGCUCCGGCUAACUCCGUGCCAGCAGCCGCGGUAAUGUACAGUGU
rnacentral:rRNA from 1 species